AAGUCGUAACAAGGUUUCCGUAGGUGAACCUGCGGAAGGAUCAUUAACACGUAUCCAACGUUAAACAACCCUGUGAACUUUAAGUCCCCUCUUGCAGCCCAUGAGGAACAGCAAUCCCGGUAAAUCAUUGCCAAACAGUUUUGAUUCGGGACCUCUGUCCAAAAGGAGUUGCAAUCGAAGGGUGGAAGCAGUGGCAUGGCUUCCCCAAGCAGUUAGUGAAUGACAGUGUCACUGACUGUGUAAGGAUAACGCCUCACGGUUGCUAGAGGUCGAUGUCACCACGCCCCUUAAUCACUCCACUUGAAAAUGCCCCGCCUAGUGGUAACGCGCUAGGUAAAAAAAACCGAACAACUGUUAACAAUGGAUAUCUUGGUUCUC
rnacentral:misc_RNA from 1 species